rnacentral:misc_RNA from 1 species
ACACCUCAACUCUCAUGGCUUGCCAUGAUGAGCUUGGACUUUGGGGGUCUUGCUGGCCUGUGUAGUCAGCUCCUCUAAAAUGAAUCAGCUUGCCGGUGUUUGGUGGCGUCACAAGUGUGAUAACUAUCUACGCUUGUGGUUUCCCACCAGGUAACCUCCAGUGAUGGAGGUUCACUGGGGCUCAUAAACGUCUUUCCUCUGUAAAGACAGCUCUCUAAAC